CUUGUCUUCUUAGGAGAUAAGAAGAAAAGUGACCAGAGCGAAAUGGGAAUUAUGAACUGUGAUUAACUGUAUCCUAAUUUCCCAGCUGAAAGUGAAGAAUGAUCUGCAAGCCAUCCCUGAAACAUAUAUACAACGUUCCAGGAAAGCUAGCUUUUAAGAACCUCUGUUUUUACUGAUUUACCCAAUUUUCCUCAAAAUAGCAUCAGAAAGAAUAAGUUAGAAAAUAUAAUUCCUAAUUUUCUCACUGAAUAGAUGCUCAUUUCUUUCAUGAACCCUCAAUACUUAUUUUAGGCCACUGUAACAUGUACAAAUGAAUCUUGGUUAAUAUAUUCUAUAUUUUGCUAGGCAAACAGAGGGAAGCCAGGAAAUAUUAUUCUGACCUGAGAGACAUUGGAAGAAUGUAAAAUGUGUUCUAGUUCAGUGAAUAUUUAAAUUUUUACCUGCUGCUAAUGAGUAUAUACAGUUGCAAAAUUGUGCCAGUUAUGAUUAAUCCACAAUCAUUUUUUUUUUAUUUUUUCUUGUUUCCUCCCUAAUAAGAAAAGGAUUGAGGUUAGAAUUAUAAUAGGCUGACAACAGCAAAAACAGCAAUAAUAACACUCAGUAACAAGUACAGAGCUUCCAUGCCCUAGUAAUUUGCUGUGACAUUAAUAUUUUGUUAGGCUGGCAUAUGCUUGUGACAGAUGUAUCGCUACCAUGCCCAUUAUAUAGAUAAGUCUACAAAGAGAGUAAUAAUUGCUUUGACUCAAGUUCCAUGGGUAAUACUGGUACAGCUAGGGUACAAAUGCAUGGCGGAUCUUGUCAAUAUUAUACAAUUAUUUUUUUCUUUGCCAUUUGGUUUUGUGCACUUGCUAUAGAAGGGUAACAAGUGCUUUUCUGUAAGGGAGUGUUGUAUUUUGGACUGCAGUUUCCUAAUAUUGAUGUAUGACCUACAAUUGUCAGUUUGUUUGGCUGAAAGUGUCAAGAGUGGGAUUCCAGGGCUUCAAGUAUGAGGGAGGUGCCUGCAGUGUGAGCUAUAUAAUUUUGUUCUCAACUCCCUUCAAUCUAUGCCUGCCUCCCCACUGGGCCAAUUUAUACUGCAGUGUAAAGUAAUGAACAGUUACAGUGUCCCUGGGGAAAAUCAGCAAGUUUUACUCAGUAUUGAAUUACAGACAAUUGUUAUGUAUAUUUCUCCAUUAGUCAGGUUGAGCAGACAUAAAUGAAAUCCGCAGAUAUUUCUCAAAUCUCAUUAAGAC
ensembl:lncRNA